GAUGAAGAACGUAGUGAAAUGCGAUAAGUAAUGUGAAUUGCAGAAUUCAGUGAAUCAUCGAAUCUUUGAACGCACAUUGCGCCCGCCAGUAUUCUGGCGGGCAUGCCUGUUCGAGCGUCAUUUCAACCAUCAAGCCCCCGGGCUUGUGUUGGGGUCCUGCGGCUGCCGCAGGCCCUGAAAAGCAGUGGCGGGCUCGCUGUCACACCGAGCGUAGUAGAUUUUAUCUCGCUCAGGGCGUGCUGCGGGUUCCGGCCGUUAAACCACCUUCAUAACCCAAGGUUGACCUCGGAUCAGGUAGGAAGACCCGCUGAACUUAAGCAUAUCAAUAAGCGGAGGA
rnacentral:misc_RNA from 1 species